rnacentral:rRNA from 1 species
AGAGAUGUGUGAUGACGCAUAUCAAUAAGCGGAGGAAAAGAAACUAACAAGGAUUCCCCUAGUAACGGCGAGUGAAGCGGGAAGAGCUCAAAUUUGAAAUCUUAAAGGGUUUCCCUUUACGAAUUGUAGUUUAAAGAAGUGUUUUCUGUUGGAGUUUCGGUAAAAGUUCUUUGGAAUAGGACAUCAUAGAGGGUGAGAAUCCCGUAUUUGACCGUUACUUUCCAGCUGUGUGAUACACUUUCAAAGAGUCGGAUUGUUUGGGAAUGCAGUCCAAAAUGGGUGGUAAAUUUCAUCUAAAGCUAAAUAUUGGCGAGUGACCGAUAGCGAACAAGUACCGUGAGGGAAAGAUGAAAAGAACUUUGAAAAGAGAGUUAAACAUGUACGUGAAAUUGUCAAAAGGGAAGCGUUUGACACCAGUGUUGUUUAGUUGAAAAUCAAUUCAAUAAUUUUUGAUUCUAGUAGUAUUGACUUCAUCAGCUUGCUGCUUUCUUCUCAGAAAUUAUUGAAUGCACUUUUCAGUUAACAAGUCAACAUCAAUUUCUUUUGUUGUAAAAGGGUAAGAGGAAGGUGGCUUGCGCUUCGGCUCAAGUGUUUAUAGCCUUUUAUCUCUGCAAUCGGAGAGAUUGAGGUCUGCAGCGUAGAUCCUUCGGGGUUAGAUACAUUGGUGCUAAGCUAUAGCCUUGUAUAGACAACUUGUUGACUAUGCUCAGUCAUGUAGCUUACUCGCUGAUGCUAUUUUACCUACGCUUAGGAUGUUGAUCUGUAGUGCGUGCGC